rnacentral:rRNA from 1 species
GAUGAACGCUGGCGGCGUGCCUAAUACAUGCAAGUAGAACGCUGAAGGAGGAGCUUGCUCUUCUGGAUGAGUUGCGAACGGGUGAGUAACGCGUAGGUAACCUGCCUGGUAGCGGGGGAUAACUAUUGGAAACGAUAGCUAAUACCGCAUGACAACAGUUAUUGCAUGAUAACUGUUUAAAAGGGGCAACUGCUCCACUACCAGAUGGACCUGCGUUGUAUUAGCUAGUUGGUGAGGUAACGGCUCACCAAGGCGACGAUACAUAGCCGACCUGAGAGGGUGAUCGGCCACACUGGGACUGAGACACGGCCCAGACUCCUACGGGAGGCAGCAGUAGGGAAUCGUCGGCAAUGGACGGAAGUCUGACCGAGCAACGCCGCGUGAGUGAAGAAGGUUUUCGGAUCGUAAAGCUCUGUUGUAAGAGAAGAACGAGUGUGAGAGUGGAAAGUUCACACUGUGACGGUAUCUUACCAGAAAGAGACGGCUAACUACGUG